GUUUAAAUAGUUUAAAAAAAAUAUUGAUUUGUGGUGUCAGUGAUGAGAGUUAUUCUCUUUAAAUC
rnacentral:tRNA from 1 species